rnacentral:lncRNA from 1 species
UUAAAUAAAAAUAAUAAUAAAUAAAGGGAAGAUAGGUAUAGCAAGCAAAUAGAGGGGGUAUGAGUCAAGUAAUCUGGAAGGCCCUGAUCUCAACCCUAUCAACACAAAUAAAAAUAAUUAAAAAAUAAGCAAACAGAAAGGGGUAACACAUAGUGAAUAGGGGGUGAGGACAGAGAAAUAUCUUAGGCCUAAGGCCCAAUUUACCAAACAAACUCCAUAC